GGGCCCCCAGACCUCCAAUCAUCCUCUUCAUCGGAGAAAGCUGCGUAUUUCCUGCUAGACGGACAACUGCUAGAAGGUUCCAUGACUUCUUUGCAGGUGUCCCAAGUUGUGCCGGCCGAUUUGCAUGUCAGGACCGCUCGCAACCUCCGCCGGAGUUGACCGUCUUUCCAGUCCUCACCCGGCUCCUGCUCCGGGUCCCCGCGCGCGGCGGGCGGCGGUGCGCCCUGUUCGGCCUGGAGGGGCCUCGCGGUCCCACCCCCGCCCGCCGGCGCACUGGCCUUCAUCUUCAUUUCCCCCUCUCGUGUGCGCGCGUCAGGGUUUCAAGACCAGCCAGGCGCGGAGGCGACAUCGCUCCCGAGCCGGUGCGCUCAAGGUGGAACUUAGUCCACACCCGCAGCUUCGGCCCUUGAGUGGCAGUCUCCUCCCCUCCCCGCCUCGCGCCUCGGGAUGGGGGUAGGCGAGCGGCUGCGCCGUGGGAGGGGCCGCCACCACACCCAGACUAGGGGCGCCGGCGUCUGGGAUGAGAGCGGCAGUUGACGCGGAAAGUGGGGGGAGAGCUCCUCGAUAGUCGUCCUGAUGUGCUGGUCACCGCUGUGGGGGCAGUAACACCCUCCUCCAGGCGGAGGGGGCAGCUGACUUGCCCUCCACUCUCCUCUCCACCCCCCAGCCUCCCUGGAGCAGGUCCCCGCGCACCGCUGGGUGGAAAAGCUCUCCACCCGCCUCCCCGGCUCCCUCCACAUCUGGGAACAGGGAGGGCUGGAGAGUAAGGCCUCCUCUUCCUGAGACAGGACCCCUGCGGAGUGAGCCCUCCAGGCCGACUUCCUUUUUACGUCGAGGGCUUCACGCGCCCCUGAACCCUCCCUUCAAAGUUAAUUUCAAUUUUUCCUUAUGAUGCUUAUAAUGACCACGGACGGUGUCUGCGCGUAUAACUGAGCCUGAGAUGGGCCGCCGUUCGAGGCAGGAGAGACCAGCAGUUGCGCUAGUGUCUGUAACUCCCACCCUCCGGCCAAGACCUGCAUCGGCGGGAUCUGAGCCCGCACCUGUGGCACCGGGACCGGGUCUUCCGGACCCGAAGUGUCCGGCCCUCUGCAGGGCGGGGAUCCGGCGGGGGCCCUUAGUCACAAGCUUAGUUCACCAGGGAAUCCUUGGAACAAAAGGAAAGCGCGUCUCUGCGACCGAGACCCGCGAACCAUCUGCGCCAGCCAAGAGUGGUCCACGUGGGAGGAGCCGCGGACCUCAAUCCGGACGCAGGCCGCCAGCGGCUGAGCCCACCCUGCGAGGGCAUCUGUGUGAGGGGUCUUCCUGGCGGGAUAGAUAGCGGGGCCGUUCCCUUCAGCUCUCUCCACGCCCCACACCUCGGUUCGAGCGUUGGGAGAAUUCCUCGUUUCAGGCACGGAAAUGAUGUCCAAGUCUGCAUCCGGGAAGCGCUCACUG
rnacentral:lncRNA from 1 species